AUUUUAUCAUAACUGAAAAAUGAAAUCACUUAACACAAAUAUUUAAUACAUAAUUUCCUUAAAAUUUUUCUAUGGCGAAACAAAACUGUGCAUAUUUUUAAAGAGUGUAUAUAAUAUCAUCAAUACUCAUGACAACCUCAAAACAAUUAGCACUGGUAUAGCUUCAAAUUCUUAUUAGUUGUGGCUAUUUUUGAAAAAAAGUUGCAAUGCUUAUUAGGGCCCAGCAUACCAGCAAGCCUUAAUUUUACAGUGUCAUAGAGUUCAAAAAGUGGCAUUAUAGUUUGAAGACACUGUAAGUCGCCAUUUCUUUCUUGUAAGUCUCUUAAAACAGGCUGGAAAACUAUUCAGUACCUCAUAUAUAAUAACCAACAAAAACAUUUCCAUUGAGUACUUUUUGCCCAGAGUGAUUAAGGACAAAAAAAAUAGGAAUUCUUGUUGCUUUAUUAUCCGAUAACUGCUAAGAAGCUCCUGUUAGAAGUUCUUCAGACAUUACACCAAGUCGUCUUGGUCUUCUGAUCAUAUAUAUAUUCACAUAUAUAUGCAUUUUUUCAAGUAAAGAAAUGUUUAACAGAUGUAAACUAUUUAUUGAAUAUUUGCCACCAAAUAUUGUUAAAUACAUUAUCUUGCAGCAUAUCGCUUUCAAGUUAAAAUGUCAGAAACAAACACCAAUAUUUACAAUUCUUUUAAGGAAUGUUAUAUAAUGACACAUUAAGGCGUAAAUUCUUUUGGCUUAUAAUUCUUAAAAGAAUGAUAAUAGCAAAAGUGAUGCAAAAUCUUCAGUGUGAGAUUAUGAUUAAGCUACAUUUUACAAAAAUAUGGUGUAAGAUGGCAAUAAUCCCAUUCAACAUCCUGGAUUGGAUCCCUUCAGGAGGGACGGAUAAUUUAUACAGUCAAACUUUAAAAUUUACAGAUAAGGCAGUUCAAUACUGCCACUGAGAGUACAUCUCUUAACAUAUACAACUUUCAGGCCACAGUUUUGAAGGUCUGAAGUAUCAAGUUGGUUUGAUGAAUUAGUCGGUUGGCACUUAUGAACACAUUUAUUGCCCUGUUAAAAAAAAAAAAGAAAGAACAGGCUUUAACUUUAUCUAAAAAAUUCAUCCUUUGAAAACAUUUAUACUUAACGCCAUCUACUAACACUAGCAAGGACAACAAUUUAGGAAAAAAG
rnacentral:lncRNA from 1 species